rnacentral:rRNA from 1 species
GUGCCAGCCGCCGCGGUAAUACGUAGGUGGCAAGCGUUGUCCGGAUUUACUGGGCGUAAAGGGCGUGCAGGCGGUCUGUUAAGUCUAGGGUGAAAGCUCCCGGCUCAACUGGGAGAGGUCCUUGGAUACUGGCGGACUUGAGGGAGGCAGAGGAGAAUAGAAUUCCCGGUGUAGUGGUGAUAUGCGUAGAUAUCGGGAGGAAUACCAGUGGCGAAGGCGGUUCUCUGGGCCUUACCUGACGCUGAGACGCGAAAGCGUGGGGAGCGAACCGGAUUAGAUACCCGUGUAGUCC